AUAUCCAGGGCUGGACUCUCAGGCGAUGGUCGCGGAGCUGAGCUGUGGAGGAGAGCCUGUUUUUCCUGAUGCCCCCGAGGAGGAGUGAUCCACGUGUCAGUUUUCCUCCUCCCGGCCGAGUCACGCAGUUCUUCGCCCGAUCGUGUCUCGGAACAGGCCAGAGAGACGCCUCUGGGCUCCUCUCCUCUCCCCCAUCGUGACGGUGCAGUAUAGAGUCUGUAUCUGUGUCGUCUCCGGGAGCAUCGUCGUCGGAGGAGACACCAGGAUGUAGUCUCCUCCUGACCCUGUCCUCUAGCCGGAUGAGGACCGGUGGUGAUGGUGGCUGAGGAAGAAAGCUGCUGGUAUGAGCUACCUAAGUAGCCUGCAAGGUUACAGCUGGAGGUUCGGGGUCGUUACAUAACAUUCUGCAUCCACCGCAACUUUUUUUCCAGCAGCAGCAGCAGCAGCAGCAGCUCUGAGUCCUCCACGAUCCAUGAGUCAAGUUAAAGUAGCAGCACUGCAAAAUAAAAGAUACUCCAUAAUACUCCGAUGAGCCCCUAAGUACUAUACUUUUACUCAGGUAGUAACACAUCUGAGUGUUUCCAUUUCAUGCCACUUCCAACUUCUACUCCAGAGCAAUGAUGAGUGAAAUGUUGAACCACAUUUAUCUGACAGCUUUAGAUUUAAUAAACAAAACAU